UACACGACCGUACCGCAAACCGACACUGGUGCGCGAGAUGAGUAUUCUCAGGCGCUUGAGAGAACUCGGGAGAAGGAACUCGGCAAAUUGACACCGUAACUUCGGAAGAAGGUGUGCCUUUAGUAGGUGAAGUCCCUCGCGGAUGGAGCCCAAUGAGGUUGCAAAGAAUCGGUGGCUGCGACUGUUUAAUAAAAACACAGCACUCUGCAAACACGAAAGUGGACGUAUAGGGUGUGACGCCUGCCCGGUGCUGGAAGAUUAAGUGAUGGGGUGCAAGCUCUUGAUCGAAGUCCCAGUAAACGGCGGCCGUAACAAUAACGGUCCUAAGGUAGCGAAAUUCCUUGUCGGGUAAGUUCCGACCUGCACGAAUGGCGUAACGAUGGCCACACUGUCUCCUCCCGAGACUCAGCGAAGUUGAAAUGUUUGUGAUGAUGCAAUCUCCCCGCGGAAAGACGGAAAGACCCCAUGAACCUUUACUGUAGCUUUGUAUUGGACUUUGAACGGAUCUGUGUAGGAUAGGUGGGAGGCUUUGAAGCCGGGUCGCUAGAUCUGGUGGAGCCAACGUUGAAAUACCACCCUGGUGCGUUUGAGGUCCUAACCUAGGCCCGUUAUCCGGGCCGGGGACAGUGCAUGGUAGGCAGUUUGACUGGGGCGGUCUCCUCCCAAAGCGUAACGGAGGAGUUCGAAGGUACGCUAGUUACGGUCGGACAUCGUGACGAUAGUGCAAUGGCAUAAGCGUGCUUAACUGCGAGACUGACAAGUCGAGCAGAUGCGAAAGCAGGACAUAGUGAUCCGGUGGUUCUGUAUGGAAGGGCCAUCGCUCAACGGAUAAAAGGUACUCUGGGGAUAACGGGCUGAUACCGCCCAAGAGUUCAUAUCGACGGCGGUGUUUGGCACCUCGAUGUCGGCUCAUCUCAUCCUGGGGCUGUAGCCGGUCCCAAGGGUAUGGCUGUUCGCCAUUUAAAGAGGUACGUGAGCUGGGUUUAAAACGUCGUGAGACAGUUUGGUCCCUAUCUUCCGUGGGCGCUGCAGAUUUGAGGAAGCCUGCUCCUAGUACGAGAGGACCGGAGUGGACGCACCUCUGGUGUACCUGUUGUCACGCCAGUGGCAUUGCAGGGUAGCUAAGUGCGGAAGAGAUAACCGCUGAAAGCAUCUAAGCGGGAAACUCGUUUCAAGAUGAGAUCUGCCGGGGCCUUGAGCCCCCUGAAGAGUCGUUCUAGACCAGGACGUUGAUAGGUCAGGUGUGGAAGCGCAGUAAUGCGUUAAGCUAACUGAUACUAAUUGCUCGUGCGGCUUGAC
rnacentral:rRNA from 1 species